UACGGGGGGGGCAAGCGUUAUCCGGAAUCAUUGGGCGUAAAGGGUGUGUAGGUGGUUGUGUUAGUCUUCUGUUAAAUUCUUCGGCUUAACCGGGGGCAUGCGGAGGAAACGGCACAACUAGAGGAUGCGAGGGGCCUGUGGAACUCAUAGUGUAGCGGUGAAAUGCGUUGAUAUUAUGGGGAACACCAAAAGCGAAGGCAGCAGGCUGGAGUAUUCCUGACACUGAGACACGAAAGCGUGGGUAGCGAAUGGG
rnacentral:rRNA from 1 species